CUCGUCCGCGCUCGAUGAGCUUAGUUUAGUCGGUCGCGCUGGCCAAACUCCAUGCGAUAUUCAAAUCGGGGUUGCCGUGAAUCAGUUGAUUGCUAUCGCAGUAGAUCUUGCCCGAAUGUGGUGAAUGUUCGACAUCGACGUUUUUUGUUCUGAUGCUGAUCGGUGCCUUGCUUGGAGGAUAUUACUCGUAUUUUUUUUAGUAGAAGUCAGAAUGUAAUUCUGGACGGCAGUUUUUCCAAUGAUAUGCAGACGAAAAAUAUCAAUGCAGAGAGAGGACCUGGUACAAGUGACGUGAACGACAAAAAGGAGCUAACAUGGAUCGAGAAAACGAUCUUCUUGAUACCGCAACAGAACGCAUCAGAUAACGUCAUCAAUCAGCCUGGGGACACCUCAAGAGUAAAUGGAGGCCUUCGACAGCAGAACGAGCAUUGCGAAGUACCACCGCUGCCACCCAGGUCCACGGCCAUCUACGAUCCUCACUCAUUGCUCUCGC